rnacentral:miRNA from 1 species
UGAACGAAAGAGCCAGUGUUGAGACAGUGAGUUGAUUACUUCUCACUGUUUCACCACUGGCUCUGGUUCA